AGAAAGAGCAAGAAUAUUAAAAAGCUACUUUGUUCUUUCCUAGGCAAAAAGAAAAUAUACAGUGGAAAUUUGACAGUAAACAGGUUAAGAUUAAGAACAAGAAGACAAUAAGUAGGAUAAGAUUAAGAACAAGAAGAUAAUGAAAAAAUAUGGAAGUUAUGAAAAAGGCUGCCAGUAUGACACCCUGUAAUAAAUUAUUCAUAAUCACAGCUGCUAGGAGCUCCCAGGGAACUGCCAAGCUGAGCUGCUUAAGCAUUAUACCACACUGACCACCCUGAAGUACCAGAUCACAGCCAAGAAAGGAAAGAUGGUAACUCUAUGUACAUAAAAUAGGGUGAGUUACAGGCAUAUGCUGAUUGAGUACGUUUCAGGAAUUAAGAA
rnacentral:lncRNA from 1 species